GUUUCCCACUGCCAAAGAUUAUGCAGUUGAGUUCUCCACAUUUGGGGAAAUUGCAGGGAUCAGCACAUCCAGAGUGCAAUGAAUAAGCCUCACCCUGGGAAAAUCACCUUUGUGAUGAUGGUAUUUCACCUCCUAGAAAGAAUCUACAAAAUUUAUGAAGAAGUAGGUUGUAAGGAGCUACUUAAGCAAGAAUAUCUUUCUGGCUGGAGAGACAUGGUUCUUCAUGGAGUCUACAGACAGGGAACAUCCUUUUCGAAC
rnacentral:lncRNA from 1 species